UCACCACCUCCAACAAGAUUAAAAUAUUGAGUCCCACCCUGUUAACCCAACUCAGGUACGCCUAUUAGAAAGAUUAAAAUCUGUAAAAGGAACUAGGCAAACUCAAGGCCCGACUGUUUACCAAAAACAUAGCCUUCAGCUAAUCAAGUAUUGAAGGUGAUGCCUGCCCAGUGACAUAAUGUUUAACGGCCGCGGUAUCCUAACCGUGCGAAGGUAGCGCAAUCAAUUGUCCCAUAAAUCGAGACUUGUAUGAAUGGCUAAACGAGGUAUUAACUGUCUCUUACAGAUAAUCAGUGAAAUUGAUCUCCCUGUCCAAAAGCAGGGAUACUCUCAUAAGACGAGAAGCCCCUGUGGAACUUAAAAAUCAACAGCCACUGCUUACAAACUAAAACCUAAUAGGUCUACUACCCAAUAAUAUUGGCUGAUAUUUUUCGGUUGGGGCGACCUUGGAGAAAAACAAAUCCUCCAAAAAUAAGACCACACCUCUUAACUAAGAGCAACCCCUCACCGUACUAAUAGUAACCAGACCCAAUAUAAUUGAUAUAUGGACCAAGCUACCCCAGGGAUA
rnacentral:rRNA from 1 species